rnacentral:rRNA from 1 species
GCAUAUCAAUAAGCGGAGGAAAAGAAACUAACAAGGAUUCCCCUAGUAACGGCGAGUGAAGCGGGAACAGCUCAAAUUUUAAAUCUGGCUGCUUCGCAGUCCGAGUUGUAAUUUGAAGGCGUCUGUCGCAUGUGAGAUGAUGGCACAAGUCCUCUGGAACGUGGCAUCGUAGAGGGUGAGAAUCCCGUCUCUGGUCGUUGUCUUGCAGGCACACGGCAGGCGAUCCGAAGAGUCGAGUUGUUUGGGAUUGCAGCUCCAAAUGGGUGGUAAACUCCAUCUAAGGCUAAAUAUUGGCGAGAGACCGAUAGCGAACAAGUACCGUGAGGGAAAGAUGAAAAGAACUUUGAAAAGAGAGUAAAACAGUACGUGAAAUUGUUGAAAGGGAAACGCUUGAAGUCAGUCGUGCCGGCGGGGAUUCAGCGAACUUCGCGGAGUGAGCGUAUUUCCUCGCAUGGCAGGUCAGCGUCAGUUUUGCGCGUCGUGAAAGGGCUCGGGUAAGGUGACUCUCUUCGGGGAGUGUUAUAGGCCUGAGCAGAUGCGAUGCGCGGGACUGAGGAUUGCAGCGGACACCCUUCGGGGCGCGGCGACCGAUCCCUGCUCUGUCACCUUCGUCCGAUAGCGUGCUAACGGUCGGGGGAGCGGCGGUUGCACCGGGUUGGCAAGCCGGCGGCUUCGCUAAGGAUGCUGACGUAAUGGCUUUAAACGAC